AUUAUAUCCACAGGUACACCUCCAAUUGACUCAAAUUAUGUCAAUUAGCCUAUCAGAAGCUUCUAAAGCCAUGAUAUCAUUAUCUGGAAUUUUCCAAGCUGUUUAAAGGCUCAGUCAACUUAGUGUAUGUAAAUUCUGACCCACUGGAAUUGUGACACAGUGAAUUAUAAGUGAAAUAAUCUGUCUGUAAACAGUUAUUGGAAAAAUUACUUGUGUCAUGCACAAAGUAGAUGUCCUAACCGACUUGCCAAAACUAUAGUUUGUUGACAAGAAAUUUGCGAAGUGGUUGAAAAAGGAGUUUUAAUGACCACAACCUAAGUGUAUGUAAACUUCCGACUUCAACUGUAUGUUGUAUUUUUGUUCCUCUAAAGGACGUAACGUCUUCCUCCCUCUUGGGGAAGAGGAAAGCUCCUCAGUGAAGACCAAUAGCAUUCCAUUGUAGGAUUGGUCAUUGCUGACAAUGCAAUAAAACUGAGAGACCAGAAUUGUAGAGGACAACCUGGUAUUUCACAAUGUGGAAAGUUUCAGCCUGACUACCAUUGCUCCUUACCAUUGAAAGGAAUAGUGAGCGUGUCAAGGAACUUGGCACUAAUACGUCCAGAGAGUCAUGGAGUUGGAGGCUAAUCAGACCCCACAUGAAAUCAUUAAUGUAGACGAGGCAGGGUUUAACCUGGCAAAAACAAGUUGGCGGGGAAGAAACGUCAUUGGGAAAAGGACCACCGUUGAUGUGCCAGAUGACCUCCACAAACAACUCGCACCAGAAGCAGAAAGGGAACAGGUGGGAGGAAACAGGAGGACAUUUGUGAUUGCAUGGGACAAUGUAGCAUUCCAUCAUUCACAUGCAAUCACAAACUGGUUUGCAGCCCAUCCAAGAAUGGUUUCCCUUUUCCUCCUCACCUACUCGCCUUUCUGCUUGGAGGUGGAAAGUGUAUGAUCAUCGGCCACAUGACCAAAUGUACCUCCUGGAUGCAAUGGAUGCCGGCUGCAGAGACAUCUCAGCUGAAGACUGCCAGGGGUGGAUAAGGCAUGCCAAGCAUUUCUAUCGAAGGUGCAUAGCGAGAGACGACAUAAGAUGUGAUGUGGACGAGAACAUGUGGCCAAAUGCUGAAGAUCGUAUAGAUUAGAACAGGACUGUGCGUUUUUGUGUUUUUUCCCCUUCUGUGCCUUUUUUACUGUAAUUGUGUUUUAUUUUUACACAUUUGAAACCAAAGGCCAUGUAUAU
rnacentral:lncRNA from 1 species